GUUUGAUACCCCGAAACUACGUGAGCUACUUCAAGACAGCCUAUUAAUAGGGCUAACCCAUCUCUGUGGCAAAAGCGUGGGAAGAACUUUGAGUAGAGGUGACAAACCUACCGAACCUAGUUAUAGCUGGUUGUCCAAGAAAUGAAUAAAAGUUCAGCCUCUAAGCUUCUCCUUUCACCUGAACUUAACCCCUUUAGAUGUAUUAAAGAAACUAAGAAAGUUAGUCAAAGGAGGUACAGCUCCUUUGAAUCAAGACACAACUUUAACAGGCGGGUAAAGAUCAUAAUAACCAAAGCUAGACAUUCUGGUGGGCCUAAAAGCAGCCAUCCCUUAGAAAGCGUUAAAGCUCAAACAUAUUACUUAUACCUUCUUAUCCUGAUCAAUAAAUCUCACCCCCCUAACCAUACUGGACCCUCCCAUGCCCCCAUGGGUGUGAUUAUGCUAAUAUGAGUAAUAAGAGAGCCCGCCUCUCUCCCUGCACACGUGUACCUCGGAACAGACAACCCACCGACCAUUAAUGACCCCAAACAAAGAGGGCAGUAAAUCAUAAACUAAAAUCAAGUAAAACAUUUAAAAAUUAACCGUUAACCCCACACAGGUGUACCCCAAGGAAAGACCUAAAGAAAGAGAAGGAACUCGGCAAACACAUAAAGUCUCGCCUGUUUACCAAAAACAUCGCCUCUUGUACCCCCC
rnacentral:rRNA from 1 species